rnacentral:rRNA from 1 species
UACGUAGGUGGCAAGCGUUGUCCGGAUUUACUGGGCGUAAAGAGCGCGCAGGCGGUCGUUCAAGUCGCGUGUGAAAGCCCCCCGGCUCAACUGGGGAGGGUCACGCGAUACUGAUCGACUGGAAGGCAGGAGAGGGUAGUGGAAUUCCCGGUGUAGUGGUGAAAUGCGUAGAUAUCGGGAGGAACACCAGUGGCGAAGGCGGAUUGCUGGGCCAUAACUGACACUGAGGAACGAAAGCUAGGGGAGCGAAUGGG